rnacentral:rRNA from 1 species
UACGUAGGGUGCGAGCGUUAAUCGGAAUUACUGGGCGUAAAGAGUGCGCAGGCGGCCGCGCAAGUCGAGUGUGAAAGCCCCGGGCUUAACUUGGGAAUUGCGCUCGAAACUACGUGGCUAGAGUGUGGCAGAGGGAGGUGGAAUUCCACGUGUAGCGGUGAAAUGCGUAGAGAUGUGGAGGAACACCGAUGGCGAAGGCAGCCUCCUGGGCCAACACUGACGCUCAUGCACGAAAGCGCGGGGAGCAAACAGG